AACGAACGCUGGCGGCAGGCCUAACACAUGCAAGUCGAACGCCCUAGCAAUAGGGAGUGGCGCACGGGUGCGUAACGCGUGGGAAUAUGCCCUUGACUGCGGGACAACAUCGGGAAACUGAUGCUAAUACCGCAUAAUGACUCCGGUCCAAAGAUUUAUCGGUCAAGGAUUAGCCCGCGUCUGAUUAGCUAGUUGGUGGGGUAAUGGCUCACCAAGGCGACGAUCAGUAGCUGGUCUGAGAGGAUGAUCAGCCACACUGGGACUGAGACACGGCCCAGACUCCUACAGGAGGCAGCAGUGAGGAAUAUUGGACAAUGGGCGCAAGCCUGAUCCAGCCAUGCCGCGUAAGUGACGAAGGCCUUCGGGUUGUAAAGCUCUUUCAGAUGCGAAGAUAAUGACGGUAACAUCAGAAGAAGCCCCGGCUAAAUUCGUGCCAGCCGCCGCCGUAA
rnacentral:rRNA from 1 species